UCGUGACCCUGACCAGAACAGACCGCGCACGCGUCAUCCAGCCCGCCGAGCGGUCCGCCGCUCGGCCAAGUCCUCGACAACCUCCUCUCCUCGGAGCGGGGGCUCGGGGUAAAAGAACCCACGGCGCCGAAGGCGUCAAGGAACACUGUGCCUAGCCCGGGGACGCGGCUGGCUUGCUGGCCGCACCCCGUGCUGCAAUGCUAUUUAAUCCACACGACUCUCGGCAACGGAUAUCUCGGCUCUCGCAUCGAUGAAGAACGUAGCGAAAUGCGAUACCUGGUGUGAAUUGCAGAAUCCCGCGAACCAUCGAGUCUUUGAACGCAAGUCGCGCCCGAGGCCAUCCGGCCGAGGGCACGCCUGCCUGGGCGUCACGCUAAACACGCUCCCACCCCCCUCAUCGGGGAGCGGGAUGCGGCAUGUGGCCUCCCGUCUCGCAAGGGGCGGUGGGCCGAAGAUAUGGCUGCCGGCGUAUCGUGCCGGACACAGCGCUAGGUGGGCGUUCUCGCUAAGCUUAUCGCAGUGUAUCCGGUGCGUAGCCGACACGAUGGCCUCUAAAGACCCUUUGAACGGUGCGCAUGACGCUCCGACCGCGACCC
rnacentral:misc_RNA from 1 species